CCACUUCUCCCAGUGCCUCUGGCGAUUUCCAAGUGGGAUCUGCGACUUCAGGGCUCUGGCCAAGCCCGCAGGCUGGCGUGAUUAGUUGCUGUUGAAGGGGGCUCCGCCAAUGAAAUCUUCUCUGCGUUCUGAUUUGGCGGUUCUUCGGUGCAAAUAUGACAGCUUUCUCUCUCAGCUCUUUUCUGCAUCUCUCCAUGUCCGACCCCGGAGCCCAGUUCUCGGUCUGCAAUUUCUACACCACAACCUUUGCAAUCACCACCACCCCUAGGUCCCAUGUCAGCAGGUGCCAGGUUGCUACAAAGGUGACAGGGCACAUUGGGAAGAAGGCUUGUUGAUUGCAGAAGAUACUUAUGCCCCGUGUUUCCAGUGCUAUGAAGUGCAAUGAGCUGGCCUGAGACUGUCAGAUGGAUUCUCCAGGGAAAGUGUUUUCCAGGAGCUUGCCAUGAACUGGAUUUAAGGUAUUGGGAGAUAAACAGAAGAAAGGGCUUUCAGAGAGCUUCCAUGAAGUGUUGGCCAAUAGUUUACCUUACCCUCCGAAGACAGUAUGUGCACAGACUGGCAUUGAGUCCAUGGUUGAAGGCUACAGAGGCUGGAGACUCGUGUCACCAGACAAUUGCUGCAACAGGAAUGGAGGUUCGCUGAGAAACACCUGUGAAGGUUUCAGUCUUUGGAGUUUUCCCAGCUUACGGAAUGAUUGAGGCACUUCAUAGCAGCAACUUGGACUAUAUUCAAUGAGAAAAAAGAGUGGGCAUCUUUCAACACCAUGUACAUAUGUUUAAUUUGAAAUUAUAGAAGGGAAUAUAGCAAGGAGAGUCAACAAGGGUUUGAUUUUUUUAAUUCAGUAUAUUGAAGUAUAUCAAUAGUUAUUAAGCAUAAUUAAACACCUACAUGUUCAUGAAUAUAUAUAAAGUUAAUAUUGAAAUUUGAAUUUGUUGGGUAUUCAUUCAACUAGGUAUGUAGCCAUUUGUUACUCCUGCCCCUGAAGAUGUACAUUCCAAAGUAAUAGUAAAAAUGAUCUCUUGUUGCAAAAGGUAUUCACCCUCAUUUUACCCAAUAGCAAAUUUCAGAGAUGUUUGUUAAUCGCAAUGCUAGAGCAAACAAAAAUUUAAGGUAUAAUCUCCUUUGUAAACAUAAUAAGCUACUUCAGGGGUUCAUGAGAAACCAAUUUUGCAACAGAUGUUAGCUUAUAAUGUUCUAAUUUUAAAUGGUGUUUGUUUAAUUCUUGGGGGAAAAUAUAUCAAUUAUCAUCCAUGGGGAGGAAAUAUAUCUCUUCUAGAACAAACGCUUGAAAAAAACUGCUUUUCGUGUAAAGUCUUAAAGUGUUUUAAUUCUGCUUCUCACUGUUAGUGGUUUGAGUUGUGAGGUAGCAGUAAUAGAAGGGAGAAGGGAGUCUAAGGCAGAUAAGUCUGAAGCCUACUUUUGUUAUAGCUUAGACUUCAAAAAAAAAAAAAAGAAAUAACUUCUCCAAGUUGUUUAUAUUUAUUUAUUUUUUUAAGUGAAGGCAACAAUUGCUAGCUACCUAAUUACUAGUCCUCUGAGUUAUUUAAUCAAAGUAGUGAAUAUAAACUUCAUAAUAAGAGUCUGUAACACUUUCUGUUCAUUGAGUGCUAGCUUCCAUGUCUAUCCAACAUCUGUGAGACUUUAUCUUAAAAUGGAAAUGUGAACAUUACUCAUAUUUCAAUCUUGUGAGGUUUAAUGAUGCACGCUAGCUCUGGUUUCUUUUUUAUGUCAGCAUAACAAAAUAUGCAACAAAAAUAGAUUCUCCUUCCUUAUGUGCGUGUAGGUUUCCAUUUGCUAUUGCCAAUUGGAAAGAAGAAAGGGUGUGUCUAUUUGGAAGAUAAGAGCUGGCGGGAAAUUGCAUAAUUAUCUGGCCAUUCUGAAACAUCUCAGUGGGUAUUUGUCAGUUCCUACAGACUGUCCAAAGGCAUAAUGGCAUAAUGAACAUUUCUACUAAGUAAGGAAAUUUAUAACUCUAACAUAUUUGAAAAUGACAAAGAGAAUCAAAGAAAUGGAAGCAAAUGCCACCAGUGCAUUUGGCUCUACUCUAAACUUCCCCUUGAUGCACACACAGAGAGAUGAUGGGUGCUGCCCAACAUCUUCUGUAAUUCAGUUUAUUUUAUGCCAUUCUUCUUGGUAUUUUCCUAUAAGGUCACCAUCAUUUUGCCAAGAUAGACCAAGUAGAGAAUGGUGAGCAGGAAAAAUUGUGAGUCCGGUGGCAAUCAUUUAGAGUUUAUUGCAGAAAUGCUGUAUGGGAAAAUGUACACACACACACACACACACACACACACCCCAAAUGAAAAUGAGAUGUAAUAGAAUACAAAUGCAGGUUCAAAGUCUUUGGAUUCAUAGAUUCAUGAAUAUGGUAGAUUUUGUUGUUGUUUGUUGGUUUUGAAUUUUUGCUUUUUGUAUUUUCUGAAACUGAGUUUAUCCUAUAAUUUUUGAAAAUGAGGGGAUCUUUCAAGGCCCAGUUGUCCAUGAUCCGAGAAACUAAGAUAUCACACACUUGCAGUUAUCAGAGAUCAACCAUGGACAAUGAUUUUGAGUUUCUCAUUUCACACGAGUGUUCAUGGAGUUAUGAAAAUCGAAGCAGGCUUUAUUAAGAAUUAUUUAAGAGGGGGCUGGAGAGAGGGCUCAUCAGUUAAAAGCACUGACUGCUUUUCCAGAAGUCCUGAGUUCAAUUCCCAUCAACCACAUGGUGGUUCACAACUAUCUGUAAUGGGAUCCGAUGCCCUCUUUUGGUGUGUCUGAAGACAGCUACAGUGUACUCACAUACAUAAAAUAAAUAAAUAAAUCUUAAAAAAUAAUUACUAAAGAAAGUGAGAUACUAAGAAGGGAGAGAAGCUCCCAGGAGUGAAUCUUAAAGUGGUUUUCAGAUUGGUUUUUGUUAACAUACCUGCCUCUGCUUCUGAUAACUAUUAUUAUCCUACAAGAGGGCCAAUGGAUGUUAGUAUAUUAAGCAUGUAAGUGCUUAAAUUUAUUUUCAUUUUGUUGAACUAUCUUUCUGUGCAUUUUCACGGAAGUUAAAAAAUACAAAUAAAUAUUUUGGUUAAAUAUCCUU
ensembl:lincRNA 9330158H04Rik RIKEN cDNA 9330158H04 gene